rnacentral:rRNA from 1 species
AUGGAGACACUCAAAAGAGCUAUGUGCUGUGCUGGAUGUGAGGAGGAAGUUUUGCCACUGAAGCGCUCCAAGGCUGAGGGAGCAUCCAUGACGGCUAGCCAUCUUGAGGUGGUUUCCCCGAGGUCCAAAAGGAACCUGGAAGAUGAGGAUCAAUCUGAACAGAUUUUAAAACGUUCCAAGUAUGACAGUCCUAUUGUUGCCGAAUCACCAUGGGAAUCAUCUGGCCUGAUAGUUGCCUUGAGAAGCGUAAUGCGACGAGGGAAAGACUUGCAUCUGGAGAGGUGUGAUGUUAGGCUUGAGAAGCGGGAGCUUCGGUUGGAGAACCGUGAGGCUUGGCUGGCGAAUCGUGAGGUUAGGUUGGAAAAGCGCGAGCGUCGCUUGGAUCGCUAUGAGAAUCAGAAAGAUCAGAGUUUGGAGCAGCGGAAGGCGGAUUUUGAUAAGAACUGGGAGGGGUAUCAGAAUUGGUUGCUUUAUAAAGCUGCCCUAGAGGACGCCCCCUCUGCUUCCAAAGUGGAUGGCCCCUCUCCUGCCGCAGAGAAGGUCUCUGCUCCUGCCCCAAAGACCUCAGCUCCUAUAGCUGCUCCUGCCCCGGGGAAUCAAACUCCUGGCUCAUUGAACAGAGUUGCGGACGCUGUCAAGACUGGAGUCACCACCGUCACUGAGAGUCUGGAAAGUGCCGACAAAAUGACCACGCUUCUGGAGAAGGUUGUGGCUGCUCCGACAAGAGUGCAGGACCUAAGGAAAAGCUAUGAAGAAAACAAAGCAAUUGUCUCUGCAAUGAGGAAAAGCUACGAGGAUAACACGGAAGUUGGCUCCUCCUUCAAGAGUGUUGUUGCGGGUGUCGUGACCAGCAGCCUGUUGCUUGCAAGGCAAGCUUUGAAGGAUUUGGUACGGGGAGGUGGAGGAGAUGGUGAUGCCGAGUGA